CGAAUAUUUUUAAAACAUGCGGAGACACUCCGAGGCACACUCGAGCCGAGGACAACUAUGCCAGUAUUAGUUGUAAUAAUAACCGAAAAUAACGGGGGUGUAGAUCUUACAAACACAACCAUGAACUUUAGUGAUGAAUAGUUGGAAAGACAGUUUUUAACAAAAACAAAUUAGUCUUUUGCCCAGUCUCGGAUCAUUGCCAGUUCCGAAUCACUUUGUAAUUAUUUUCUAAAAGUACUAAUUAUUGAAAUGAUUUCUACUCAGAAAGGUAAAUCACAUUUGAAAUGAUUACUGAGGGAUACAAAACUGAUGUAAUUUUUAUUCAACCCAGGUUUAUUAUACUUGUCACACUUUUAUUACUUGUCUACACUUCAACAUCUUGGUAAUUUUUUGGGGGGAAAUCGCGUUGUGGGAAAAAAGUCUGUAGCUAAAGUAUAACCACGUUUCUUGCACAAAACAUUAAUGCAUUUAAUUGAUACAUCUUUCAGCAAUAGCAUCAAUAAAUAUUUCUUUAUCUGUUGAACCAAUUUCGGAUCAGUCGUGUCACACGCGUAAUAUUGAACUUAGUUUUCAACUUUAAGCAAUAUUUCAGUUCAUAUUAAAGGCACUCUUAGAUUUAUAGAAGUAGUGUCAGAUAUAAACGCACACAUUUUAUUAUAAACUCAACAAACUUUUUUUUAAAUUAGAAAAUUGAGACUGUUACGUAUUGCGUCUAGAUUUACUUCUUGAAUUUAAUAUUCAAAAUGUAUACUGUAGUUUAUUCAACUUUAGCAUAUUUGAUUUUUAAACUUUUUUUUCAUUCCAAGUUUCCCACCCUUGUCAAAACCGCAAGAAAAUGGCGAGAAAUUGUUAUUCCGUGUAGAUAUAAUGUUAUAUUAUGAACAGCCUCAGAGAAAGAUAAUUAUGAAUGCUAAUGAAGAGAGUUUUGAAUGCCUUUUGGCUAUGUCUAAAUGUGAAGCUUUGAAUAUUGUUCAAAUUAAACUAGUGUCUGAUUUAUUUUUAUUUCUACAAAAACUAGGUAUAUCUUAAGCGGAAUAAACAUACAGACAUACUGAUUUAAAGUAUGAGACCGAUUGAAUGUAGGAUCGGAACAGUCAGUGCAAUGUUCGAAUCGGCAUGCAGUCGUUUCAAACAUCUCCGUGAUUCGGAAUUGGCGGUGUGAUGUGGAACGGACCUAUGAACUUUGGUAUGGAAAAUGUAAAGACCUGUGACAUUUACAGCAAUUUUCAGACAAUUUAAAUGAUUUUUCAUUUGAGAAACUUCUGAUCUUCUCACAAGAAGAUUGAAACCUAAAUUAUCUUCCUGGUACCUCCAGCAAUCGUUAAUAAAAAGGUGAUCCGGAACUGGGCAAACGACAGUAUAUUUAGUCUUGAAAUGUAUGUACAAGUACAAAUACAAUUUUAAAUGCAUUCACUGAAUUUUGUUAUUCAUUUCUUCAUCAAAUAUUAAAUGAACUUCUAUACACAAUGCUUUGAACACGUAAACUAAGCAAUAUAUUAUCACAUUUCUUUUGGGGUAUAAACAAAAACAGAAACACUGUCUGUAAUUUUGCAUGUACUGAAUUAUCAAUAUGUGUAUUCAAAGGGGCAUUUGCUUUCAUUUUGUCACCAAAAAUUUGAUUCUGAUCAAUGAAAAUUGCUCAAUAUUAUAUAUUUCAGGAAUAACUGCACGAUUUGAUUAUUUUAAACACUUUUUAUCCUCAAAGCAGGCACAUGAAUUAUGUAGAUCUACAUAAUUUUUUAUGAUUAAAUAAUUAAUGUCUUGCAAGGCAAUUAUUCAUCCAUAUGUAUUUCUUUACACCAAAAGCGGUUAUCUAACAUAGUCUUAUUAGGGUUUCUCUUGUUUUUGUGCAAAAUAAAUAUUUUUAUUAGUUAUUUUCAUAUAUUCCUAUGCCAUUGAGGAAUUUUGAUUAAAAAAAUUACCAUCACUUUCACAGUUACUGUCCCUUAAAAUUUUUAAAAAAUAAUAAUAGAAAAUUGGUUAUUUUACAUGUUCAGGUGAUUUUGAAUAUAUUUUUCAUUGUUUUACAAUACAAAAGUUUAAGAAAGAAAAAAAUAUAAUCGCUCGCUUUGCUCUAUUACGAUACCGCCUGAAAAUUAUGUUGAAAAUAAAUUUUAAUAUUAUAAAUAGUAAAUCGCUCGCCCGCCCCAAUUUUUUGGGGUCAUUUGUCCGAAGAACAAGAAAUUUUAUUGGUGUCGCCUAAAGUAGAUUUCUAAUAUAGUAUAUAUAUAUAUACUUUUAGAAAUUGCUUUUGUUGCAUAUUUGUAGACAUUAUCUGUAACAUUUUUUAACAGUACAAACAAAUAAAGUAAUACACCAAACAAGAAGCCCAUGGGCCGUCUUCAAAAUUAACCGAUGGUCCGAAGACCGAGGCCAGUAAAAUCGGGCUCAGACCUCUUAAAAUGUCAAAACCAUAGGUCCGUCGGGCUUGUGAUUCUCAUUUUAGAAACUAAUCUGUGGUAUUCUGGUGAAAUGAUAUGGGGUUUGAAAUGAUUUGAUCAUCAGACCAUCACUAAAAAUAAGAAAACAGCCAAAGAAAAAUCAAGAUUCAAAGCAGAAAUAUGAACAGAAAAUUCCAUCUCCAAUGGAAACUGGGAGAGCAUUAUAGCUACAUUAUGAAGCAGAAUUUAUUCAAAAACUUCUACGUGAGAAGAAAAAAUCUCUUGCUUUCGCCUUCAAUUCGACAUUUAGAGAUAUUGACGACGUUUUGUCUAUUAACAAUAACUUUCAUAUAUAUGUCAAUUCGAUAAAUCCCUGUGAGCUCGAAAUAAAAGACACCACAGAGCCGUCCACUUCUGCUUCAUACUUAGAUAUUUUAUUGAAAGUAGACUUUAACGGCAAACUGACAACUCAACUGUAUAUAUGGCAAACACGAUGAUUUCAGCUUCUCCAUCGUUAACUUCCCAUAUCUAUGUAGCAAUAUUCCAUUAUCACCUGCAUAUGGUGAUUAUAUCUCUCAACUGAUUCGAUACAGCAAGAGCUAUUUCUGCGUACUGUAAGUUUUUAAAUCGAGGCAAGCUACUGACAAACAAGUUGAUGGUACAGGGAUUUCAAGAGUCUCAAUUAAAAUGAUCUAGUUUGCCAAUACAACCUAUCACUUUGGUCAAAUGCUGUCUGACGUGUUUCAUACCGAUUGUUAAACCGUUCUUGGCACACUGAUUUUGACUAUGGAUAAAUCUGUUUACUUGAUCAUGAUAUAGACACCCCUACUAACGUGUUCGGAACACAUUCUUUAUCAGUGUUAAGUAGAGCGUAAACUUAGAGACUAUCGAAUGAAAUUUAAUCUCGCUGCUCCGACACUCCAACACGAGCUACCUGAGACCCGGUGAAUUUUCUACCGGAUAUGGAUGUGCUUUAAGGAAUCCCAGUGCUAAUAUAAGUAUCAAUUAGAAAUUAUGGUAUAUUGUGCUUUAUUUGUUUUUGCAAUAUAUAUAUCUGCGUAUCAAUGCAUUAUUUUCCUAACGCCAUCAGCUAACAAAGCUUAAAUAAGAAAUGGUAAGAAAGAGUUAUCGUCCUUAGAUUUUGACGUAGGCCAACUUUGAAAGAACUCUGAUUAUCGUGAAAAAAAAAAUUGAGAGGGCAUCUUUCUAUUUCAAAAUGCCAUAUUUAAAUUUUAAUGUUGCAUAGGGAUUGUGUUCAAUUUAUCAAACACUGCAAUGUUGCAUACAAUUUACCAUUUUCAAGCAGAAAAUACUAUAGUCUGUUUCAUGUUUGAGGUAUAUAUGUAUCUGUGAAUGUGCAUGUUACAAGCAAAGAAAGAUGCAUCGCAACUAAAUUAUCUUAAAACUUCUAAACUUGAUAUUUCUUUGGUGGAAACAUUAUCUUUUUCCUGAUUUAGCAGUAUAAAUAAAGUGAUUUUAUUUUAUGAAGAAAGUAAAUUUUAUUGAUUGCUCCAAUCAUAAUAAUAUUAAUAUCAUAAUUAUGGUGGGGGGUAUACUACCCAUUCAAAAUUUUUUGAAAUGUAAAGAUUUUCUUAAUUAAACUCAUUGAUGCAUGCAGCAUACCUAAGAAAAUUAGAAUGAAUAAAAAGUACAUGACACGUACGUAUUUGUAUGCAGAUAAUCAUUUGGUACAUAUGUAAUGAAAAAUUCCAAAUUUUCCUUAUAUGAUGAUUUAAUGACCAAUUAUGGAUCGAUUGUUUUAAAGUGGGGGGAAAGCAACAAUGAAAGGAAAUUAGAACAUGACUCGGUGUAAUACAAUGCAUGUACACCAUUGCCAAAGCAUGUUAUACAUAUGUACCAGUGAUAAUUUAAAAGUAAAAUUGAUCACAAAACUGCAAAGGACAUCAGGGGACAGUACAUAAUAUUUAACAGGAUCCACCCUGACUAUCUAAUGCAGGAUUGUAUUGUCAAUAUAACAUUAAAUCUGGUAACAAAUGUGCAUAAGACACCAGGGGACAAUGCGUUAAUUAAAAUUAAAUAAUUUUAUCAGAUCAUGCAGGGACCAUAGAUUCUCCUUAUAUGUAGCAAAAAAUCGCAGUCUUAAUAUAAAAUCUUAGUAGAAAACGUUUAAAAUUCUUGAGUGGUGCAGGUCUUAUACUCAUUUACAGAUUGACAGUCUAUAGCUCUGAGUUUCUGUAACCACACACAUGUAUUACUAAUGUUUAUUUAUGCAAGCAUUUAUGAUAUAUAUUAAUCAUUAACACAUUAUAUUAAUGUGGGACAAUAUAUAUGGAUGUACAUCAUGACUUUUUCUUUACUGAUACAUCAAGCAGUAAAUAUAUAUAUGAAUGACAUACCUACAUGCAUUUCUCUUUUUAAUUAAUUUAGAUUUACUUACUCCUGCAAUUACAAACUUAUAAUUACAGUAACACACCUGUAAUAUAUCAAGAAUCUUUUUCAUAUUUAGAUUAGUCAUGUAUCUGUACAUUAGAGGACAAACUGUACACAAAUUAAAAUCUUAAAUCAAAUAUUGAAUGCACAAUUAGGAUUACAUUGCAUGACACUGUAAUUAACUAUUGUUUUGAUAUACAUCAACUAUAUAUUGUCUGUAAGAAACCUUUGCUGUUUCAUUUAUAGUAUUACAUUUCUCAACAUAAUUAAACAGUCAAGUUUCAGAAAUCAAAAUUGAGCUGUGAGCCAGAAACUGUUCUAGAAAUUUAGGAGAAGAAAAUAUUUUGCAUGAUCAUAUAUGGAUUUUUUUUUCAAGUUUGGCCAAGUUAGGAUCAUAAGGUGCAUUCACUGAGUAUUAUUUAACCCAAAGUGAAGAAUUUUGUAAUUACAUGUAUAAGCUCUCUCUAAUGAAACACUGACUGUGCAAUGUUGAUUAUUUUACAUGUUUUAGUUAGUGCUAUAUUUAACUGAAUAGCCUUGUAUAAAGAACUGCGAAUUAAAUACAAUUGUAACUGAUCAAACAUAUUGCAUGUUGGAGUUUUAAAACUUUAAAAGCAUAAUUAAGGCAUCAAAUAAAAAAUGUUAUGUUUCUGACCCUAAUUAAAUUAAAUGCACUAACCCUAGUUUUUUAAAUAAACAUAAUUAUAUUGUUGAAGAGAUCAUUGAAGAAACAUUGUUUAGGGGACUUGACCUAUGUAAUUCAAUUCAUCUAUAAUAAGUACUUUUAAUCAAACUAAAUCUAAAAGUUGCAUUGACAAUUAAGUGAAAAAUGAGUGGCAGCCCCUCAUGUUUAAUAAGACAUUAUGAUUUGUUUAAAUGGAGAUUGUGAUCAGAAUGUUAAAACUUUGUUUACAGUUAAAGAAAAAAGAUAUGAAUUAUACAUUAUGUAUAUCCCAAUCUGAAUUAAAAUUAGACUGGUAUAUUCUACUCGACUACUGUACAUGUACCUCACGUAUACAUGUACCUUAAUACAAGGAAGUGUAUCGUAGAGACGUGGAAUUCUUUUUCUCCUUGACCAACUUGCCAUUAUUUUGACUUAAAUGUUUGAGGAAACACAGCAAUUUAUGUUUUUAGCCUAAAUUUCAAAUCAUAAUACAUGUUUGUGCACAUGUCUGUUUUCAGUGUACUUUUUGGGGAAUUUGAGUGAUUUACCACCCUUUGAACAAAGGUAUAUUGAGGUCCUCAAAGGAAUCCUAGAUUUGUCAAGAAGCCAUUUGUUUUAAUUGCUGCCCAACAAACAGUACAGUGUCUUUGUGUAAAUUAAUACGUCAUCAAUGUUCACCCAAAGUAAAGUGAGAAAAAACUUAUCCAGACAAUCAACAGCAAGCGAACCUCUAACCUUCAAACUUGUUGAAAUGUGCAGGAGAAAUAGGAUUCCAAAGAGGAGAAGCUUUGUUAUAAUUUUUUAUAGCAUGAAUUAAAUACAAUUUCUCAUAUUUUAA